UAUGGAAUCUUCGGCAAUGGGGGCAACCCUGACCGAGCAACGCCGCGUGAGUGAAGAAGGUUUUCGGAUCGUAAAGCUCUGUUGUAAGAGAAGAACGUGUGUGAGAGUGGAAAGUUCACACAGUGACGGUAACUUACCAGAAAGGGACGGCUAACUACGUGCCAG
rnacentral:rRNA from 1 species